rnacentral:ncRNA from 1 species
UAUAUUUGCACCGCAAAAAGGAGUGUCCUUUUUGAUACAUAACAAUCAUUUAUAGAAAUAUUAGCAUG